rnacentral:misc_RNA from 1 species
GAAAUGCGAUAAGUAGUGUGAAUUGCAGAAUUCAGUGAAUCAUCGAAUCUUUGAACGCACAUUGCGCCCCUUGGUAUUCCAUGGGGCAUGCCUGUUCGAGCGUCAUUUGUACCCUCAAGCUUUGCUUGGUGUUGGGUGUUUGUCCUAUUCUUUGUGAUGGGACUCGCCUUAAAACAAUUGGCAGCCAGUGUUUUGGCAUUGAAGCGCAGCACAUUUUGCAAUUCAAGCCCCAGUACUCGCGUCCAUGAAGCGUAUUUUACACUUUUGACCUCGGAUCAGGUAGGGAUACCCGCUGAACUUAA